AGUUGUGAUCCUUCACCCUCCUUAGAUGUUUGUUUAGGGGAAUUACUUCGUGAAGAGCAGCGUCUUCUCACACAAAGCACUUUCAAGCAAGAGAAUACUGUCACGGUUGCAUUUGCGGCUCAAGGAAAAGGGAAGGGUAGGGAUAUGAACAACAUACAAUGUUAUAGCUGUAAAGAAUAUGGACAUAUUGCUGCCAAUUGUGGAAAGAAGUUCUGCAACUACUGUAAACAGCUCGUACACAUCAUAAAGGAGUGUCCUACAUGUCCUCAAAACCGUAGAGCCAAU
rnacentral:misc_RNA from 1 species